GACGAGCGCUGGCGGCAUGCCUAAUACAUGCAAGUCGAGCGAACAGAUGAAGUGCUUGCACUUCUGACGUUAGCGGCGAACGGGUGAGUAACACGUAAGGAAUCUACCUAUAAGCGGGGGAUAACAUUCGGAAACGGGUGCUAAUACCGCAUAAUACCACGACAUGGCAUCAUGACGAGGUCAAAGGAGCAAUCCACUGAGAGAGGGGCUCGCGUCCCAUUAGAUAGAUGGCGGGGUAACGGCCCACCAUGUCAACGAUGGGUAGCCGAGCUGAGAGGCUGAGCGGCCACAGUGGAACUGAGACACGGUCCAGACUCCUACGGGAGGCAGCAGUGGGGAAUAUUGGGCAAUGGGCGCAAGCCUGACCCAGCAACGCCGCGUGAGGGAAGAAGGCUUUCGGGUUGUAAACCUCUGUCCUUGGUGACGAAAAAAAUGACGGUAGCCAAGGAGGAAGCCCCGGCUAACUACGUGCCAGCCGCCGCCGUAA
rnacentral:rRNA from 1 species